rnacentral:rRNA from 1 species
GUGGCUAAGGCAUGCAAGUCGAACGAGAAGUGCCCCGCAAGGGGCAUUGGUACAGUGGCGAAAAGGGUGAGUAACGCAUGGAAUAACGUGCCCUCCAGAAGUGGGAACAACCUGCCGAAAGGCGGGCUAAUACCACGUGCGAUCCCGGGGAGGCAUCUCUCGGGGAUGAAAGACAGGGGUCCUAUCGGGACCUAGUGCUGGAGGAGCGGUCCAUGUCCUAUCAGCUAGUUGGUGAGGUAACGGCUCACCAAGGCGACGAACGGGUACGGGGCCUGAGAGGGUGUUCCCGCACACUGGGACUGAGACACUGCCCAGACUCCUACGGGAGGCUGCAGUCGAGAGUCUUCGGCAAUGGGCGAAAGCCUGACCGAGCGACGCCGCGUGGAGGAUGAAGGCCUUCGGGUUGUAAACUCCUGUCACGGGGGAAGAAUAAGUGGGGGUCAAUACCCCCCAUGAUGACUGCCCCGAGAGGAAGCCACGGCUAACUCUGUGCCAGCAGCCGCGGUAAGACAGAGGUGGCGAGCGUUGUUCGGAAUCACUGGGCAUAAAGGGCGCGUAGGCGGCCAGGCAGGUCAGGGGUGAAAGCCCCCGGCUCAACCGGGGAAUUGCCUCUGAAACCGCCAGGCUUGAGUGGAAGAGGGGAGAGUGGAACUCGCAGUGGAGCGGUGAAAUGCGUAGAUAUUGCGAGGAACGCCGGUGGUGAAGACGACUCUCUGGAUUCUCACUGACGCUGAGGCGCGAAAGCCGGGGGAGCAAACGGGAUUAGAUACCCCGGUAGUCCCGGCUGUAAACGAUGAGCGCUAGGUAGAGGGGGUACCCAUUCCCUCCCUGCCGGAGAAAAUUUGUUAAGCGCUCCGCCUGGGGAGUACGGCCGCAAGGUUGAAACUCAAAGGAAUUGACGGGGGCUCGCACAAGCGGUGGAGUAUGUGGAUCAAUUCGAAGCUACGCGAAGAACCUUACCUGGGCUUGACAUGCCGGAGGUAGAAGCCCGAAAGGGUAACGACCGGUAUCCAAUCCGGGACCGGCACAGGUGUUGCAUGGCUGUCGUCAGCUCGCGUCGUGAGAUGUUGGGUUAAGUCCCGUAACGAGCGGAACCCUUGUCCUUAGUUGCCAGCGGGUCAUGCCGGGGACUCUAAGGAGACUGCCGGUGUCAAACCGGAGGAAGGCGGGGAUGACGUCAAGUCAUCAUGGCCCUUAUGUCCAGGGCGUCACACGUACUACAAUGGUCGGUACAGAGGGAAGCGAGACCGCAAGGUGGAGCAAAUCCCAAAAAGCCGGCCCCAGUCCAGAUCGGGGGCUGAAAUUCGCCCCCGUGAAGUUGGAAUCGCUAGUAAUCGCGGAUCAGCCAUGCCGCGGU